GUAAGAUUAGUUUAAAUGGCAAAACACCGUCUUGUGGCGACGUAAUUAAGAGUUCAAAUCUCUUAUUUUACC
rnacentral:tRNA from 1 species